rnacentral:pre_miRNA from 1 species
UAAUGUUACUACCACUGUAGACGCUACGUGUGAGAUAAUAGGAGGAUAUAACCCACGUAUCAGCGCCUGUAAUGAUAGUGACAUUAU